rnacentral:rRNA from 1 species
UGGGGAAUCUUGGACAAUGGGCGCAAGCCUGAUCCAGCCAUGCCGCGUGAGUGACGAAGGCCUUAGGGUUGUAAAGCUCUUUUGGCGGGGACGAUAAUGACGGUACCCGCAGAAUAAGCCCCGGCUAACUUCGUGCCAGCAGCCGCGGUAAUACGAAGGGGGCUAGCGUUGUUCGGAAUUACUGGGCGUAAAGCGCACGUAGGCGGUUUUUAAGUCAGAUGUGAAAGCCCAGGGCUCAACCCCGGAACUGCCUUUGAAACUAGAUAGCUAGAAUCUUGGAGAGGUCAGUGGAAUUCCGAGUGUAGAGGUGAAAUUCGUAGAUAUUCGGAAGAACACCAGUGGCGAAGGCGACUGACUGGACAAGUAUUGACGCUGAGGUACGAAAGCGUGGGGAGCAAACAGGAUUAGAUACCCACGUAGUCCCUGAGCGGGCUGGCAAGGCGCAU